GACAGAGGGUGCAAACGUUGUUCGGAAUUACUGGGCGUAAAGAGCGUGUAGGCGGCCAAGCAGGUCCGCUGUGAAAACUCGAGGCUCAACCUCGAGACGUCGGUGGAAACCGUUUGGCUAGAGUCCGGAAGAGGAGAGUGGAAUUCCCGGUGUAGCGGUGAAAUGCGCAGAUAUCGGGAAGAACACCCGUGGCGAAGGCGGCUCUCUGGGACGGUACUGACGCUGAGACGCGAAAGCGUGGGGAGCGAACAGG
rnacentral:rRNA from 1 species